UACAACUGAUCUAAAUUAGAUGCACUGCACC
rnacentral:piRNA from 1 species